CCUGCGAAGGCAAGCGGAUCUCUUAAAGCNGUUCUCAGUUCGGACUGCAGUCUGCAACUCGACUGCACGAAGCUGGAAUCGCUAGUAAUCGCGGAUCAGCACGCCGCGGUGAAUACGUUCCCGGGCCUUGUACACACCGCCCGUCACACCAUGGAAGUCUGCAAUGCCCGAAGCCGGUGGCCUAACCACUUAUGUGGAAGGAGCCGUCUAAGGCAGGGCAGAUGACUGGGGUGAAGUCGUAACAAGGUACC
rnacentral:rRNA from 1 species